rnacentral:tRNA from 2 species
CCUUACAAGGAGGGGGUCGGCGGUUCGAUCCCGUCAUCACCCACCA